rnacentral:lncRNA from 1 species
CUCAUAGUAAACACCAAUUGUAUUCACUAAGAUGAUUACUUGUAUUUAGGAUAAUGUUUAACAGCUUUGUCAGUCUAUUUUUUAUUUUAAAAUCAUCUUCUUUAAUUAUUUCAUAUAUUUUACAUUUAAAAUACCCAAAUGCGGGACAAAGGGAUGAUUUUGUGGGACAUUUGCGGGACAGUGUAGCCUACUUGAGUAAAAAGCCCCCUCCCGCUGUACCAUACAAGCUAAUUGAAGUGUGCCUAUAGGCUAUGCAAUCGCCUUGACAACAUUUGGUCAUGCAGGAAACAGAUCAAAUGUGUGUCUGUUUUCUGAAAAUCUGGGAAUACUUGGCCAAGGAAACAUUUCUGGUUGGUCUCCAGGAAUGGAAAACAAUUAAGAAAGGAGAAUUUGGAAACCGGAUUGAGUGAAGUAGCAGCAAAUAUGUUAAGUGAGCAACUAAUGAGCAUGGAGGGCCUAACAAGUUUGACAAAAUCACCUUACAUCUUUUCAGUUUCAUCAACUUAUAUACACUGAACAAAAAUAUAAACACAACAUGCAACAAUUUCAAAGGUUUUACUGAGUUACAGUUCAUUUAAGGAAAUCUGUCAAUUUAAAUCAAUUCAUUAGGCCCUAAUCUAUGGAUUUCAGAAAACCAGUCAGUAUCUGGUGUGACCACCAUUUUCCUCAUGCAGCGCGACACAUCUCCUUCGCAUUGAGUUGAUCAGGCUGUUGAUUGUGGCCUGUGGAAGGUUGUCCCACUCCUCUUCAAUGGCUGUGUACAGUUUCUGGAUAUUGGUGGAAACUGGAACACGCUGUCGUACAAGUCGAUCCAAAGCAUCCCAUCAGCUUCCAGGAAUUGUGUACAGAUCCUUGCAACAUGGGGUUGUGCAUUAUCAUUCUGAAACAUGAGGCGAUGGCGCCGGAUGAAUGGCAUGACAAUGGGCCUCACGAUCACGUCACAGUAUCUCUGUGCAUUCAAAUUGUCAUUGAUAAAAUGCAAUUGUGUACGUUGUCAGUAGCUUAUGCCUUCCCAUACAUAACCCCACCGCCACCAUGGGGCAGUCCAUUCACAACGUUGACAUCAGCAAACCGCUCGCCUACACAAUGCCAUACAAGCUGUCUGCCUUCUGCCCGGUACAGUUGAAACUGGGAUUCAUCCGUGAAGAGCACAUUUCUCCAGUGUGCCAGUGGCCAUUGAAGGUGAGCAUUUGCCCACUGAACUGAAGUCAGUUACCACGCCGAACUGCAGUCACGUCAAGACUCUUGUGAGGAUGAUGAGUACGCAGAUGAGCUUCCCUGAGAUGGUUUCUGACAGUUUGUGCAGAAAUUCUUUGGUUGUGCAAACCCACAGUUUCAUCAGCUGUCUGGGUGGCUGGUCUCAGACAAUCCCGCAGGUGAAGAAGCCGGAUGUGGAGGUCCGGUUACACAUGGUCUGCGGUUGUGGUGUCUGUUGGACAUACUGUCAAAUUCUCCAAAACAAUGUUGGAGGCGGUUUAUGGUAGAGAAAUUAACAUUAAAUUAUCUGGCAACAGUUCUAGUAGACAUUCCAGCAGUCAGCCAGCCAAUUGCACAUUCCCUAAAAACUUGCAACAUCUGUGGCUUUGAGUUGUAUGACAAAACUGCACAUUUUAGAGUGGCCUUUUAUUGUCCCCAGCACAAGGUGCACCUGUGUAAUGAUCAUGAUUUUUAAUCAUCUUCUUGCUAUGCAACACCUGUCAGUUUAAUGGAUUAUCUUGGCAAAGAAGAAAUGCUCACUAACAGGGAUGCAAACAAAUUUGUGCACAUUUGAGAGAAAUAAUAUUUUUGUGCGUAUGGAACAUUUUGUUGAUCUUUUAUUCCAGCUCAUUAAACAUGGGACCAACACUUUACAUGUAGUGAUUAUAUUUUUGUUCAAGAUACUUACUUUUGUAGCUCUUGAUCAGAAGUUCAAGUUCAGUUGGAAUUUAGACCGAAAGGAUUUGACAAAUGUGAUUGGUUGGCAAUAUGACAUUAGCCUUGCUCUGCGCAGAAUAUCAGAUCUCAACAACGAUUGGAGAAGUGUUUAACAUCACCAGUACCACAUCCUUAUGAUAUACAUCUUGUCAAAAGCGCACCGUGACUGCAAACAGAGAUCUGUAUAUAAUGACGAGAUGCUUAUGUCUCCGCCCUAACAAUGGGAGUCAGGCAAAAAGCUUAGGUCCCGCAUUGGGCUUAUUUUGGACAGAUUUUGGCGAGUGAAACCUCUCGCUUCACCUCUUCCUCUCUGCUGCAAAAUUGACAGGUUGGAAUGCCUGACUGAAAUACGGAACAAAUCAAACUUUUUAGUAAAUGACUUGUGUUAGAAUUUCUUUUAGAAAAUGAGGGACAUGAUUGUUUGGUUGCGGGACAAAGGGCCAUGUGGUUACCCUAGUGAUAAGGCCACACAAUGGUCCAGAGAUGAUUACAGACACCUGUGAUAAUCUGAAGUACCCAAAAGGGCCACUAGAUGUCUGAUAGAUUAUAUAAAAUCCCUGAAAGAUACCAACAUUCUGGUAGUUUACUGGUAAAAUUAGAAAGUUUCCAGUAAUAUACCCUCCCUUUGCAACCCUAAUUAAUAGGCUAUGUCAGACUUUGAGGGAAAACUUUCAUACCAGUAACCUGAAUGUGAAAGUGUUAAUACCUGGGCAACGAGAAAAAGGGAGAGGUGAUAAUUCAUUCAGCCCUGUCUUUAAAAUAAAAACAGGUGUCUCUCUGUUUGUAAAUUCUACAAUGACCUUUAUGGAGAGUCUCCUCUGAUGAAAUAUUCAUGGAGCCAGUACACAAUAUGCCAUAGAGGCUAGCGGCCUAAUUGGCUGCAGUUACAUUCUGACUGAGGGUGUCUCUUUUCUCUCUGUCUCAUUGUCUGCUGUCUGCACCGAGCUGGGUCCUGCUCUCCUGUCUAAGUGGUCUGGUCUCUGUGAAAAGCACAUCUGAGGACUAACGUGGGUUUAUAUCCUGCAGACAGACAGAUUCUGUCUUUUAAUGACAGCCACGUAAGAAGAAAUGAUAAAAGUAGGGUGCUAUACAUUGUGAUGGGUGUAGUAGUCAAAAUGUUGUCUUGCCCGACCCAAGCCUCUGUGUCCCUGUAGGGCGUCGUUAGGGGAUCAAAUCAAAUCAAAUAUUAUUUGUCACAUGCCCCAAAUACAACAGGUGUACACUUGCUUGCAUACAAGCCCUUAACCAACAAUGCAGUUUUAAGAAAAAUAAGUGUUAAGAAAGUAUUUACUAAAAUAAACUGAAGUAAAAAAUAAAGAAAAUAAAAAAUAGAAAAAGAAAAUAGAAAAAUGACAAAUAAUUAAAGAGCAGCAGUAAAUAACAGUAGCGAGGCUAUAUACAGGGGAUACCUGUACAGAGUCAAUGUACGGGGGCACAGGUUAGUCGAGGUAAUUGAGGUAAUAUGUACAUAGGUACGUAGGUAGAGGUAUAGUGACUAUGCAUAGAUAAUAAACAGAGAGUAGCAGCAGCGUUAAAAUGGGGGUGGGGCGGGGGUCAAUGCAAAUAGUCCGGGUAGCCAUUUCAUUAGCUGUUCAGGAGUCUUAUGGCUUGGGGGUAGAAGCUGUUGGCGCUCCGGUACCGCUUGCCGUGCGGUAGCAGAGAGAACAGUCUAUGACUAGGGUGGCUGGAUUUUUAGGGCCUUCCUGCCACCGCCUGGUAUAGAGGUCCUGGAUGGCAAGCUUGGCCACAGUGAUGUAUUGGGCCGUACACACUACCCUCUAUAGUGUCUUGCGGUCGGAGGCCGGGAAGUUUCCAUACCAGGCGGUGAUGCAACCAGUCAGGAUGCUCUCGAUGGUGCAGCUGUAGAACUUUUUGAGGAUCUGAGGACCCAUGACAAAUCUUUUCAGUCUCCUGAGGGGGAACAGGCAUUGUCGUGCCCUCUUCACGACUGUCUUGGUGUGUUUGGACCACAAUAGUGUGUUGGUGAUGUGGACACCAAGGAACUUGAAGCUCUCAACCUGCUCCACUACAGCCCCAUCGAUGAGAAUGGGGGCGUGCUCGGCCCUCCUUUUCCUGUAGUCCACGAUCAUCUCUGGCACCACACUGCCAGGUCUCUGACCACCUCCCUAUAGGCUGUCUCAUUGUGAUAAGGCCACUGAUGUAUCGUCGGCAAACUUAAUGAUGGUGUUGGAGUCGUGCUUGGCCAUACAGUCAUGAGGGAACAGGGAGUACAGGAGGGGACUAAGCACGCACCCCUGAGGGGCCCCCGUGUUGAGGAUCAGUGUGGCAGAUGUGUUGUUACCUACCCUUACCACCUGGGGAUGGCAUGUCAAGAAGUCCAGGAUCCAGUUGCAGGUGUUCAGUCCCAGGGUCCUUAGCUUAGUGAGGAUCUUGGAGGGCACUAUGGUGUUGAAUGCUGAGCUGUAGUCAAUGAAUAGCAUUCUCACGUAGGUGUUCCUUUUGUCCAGAUGGGAAAGGGCUGUGUGGAGUGCAAUAGAGAUUGUGUCAUCUGUGGAUCUGUUGGGGCGGUAUGCAAAUUGGAGUGGGUCUUGGGUUUCUGGGAUAAUGGUGUUGAUGUGAGCCAUGACCAGCCUUUCAAAGCACUUCAUGGCUACAGACGUUAGGGCUACGGGUCUGUAGUCAUUUAGGCAGGUUACCUUGGUGUUCUUGGGCACAGGGACUAUGGUGGUCUGCUUGAAACAUGUUGGUAUUACAGACUCAGUCAGGGACAGGUUGAAAAUGUCAGUGAAGACACUUGCCAGUUGAUCAGCGCAUGCUCGGAGUACACGUCCUAGUAAUCCUGUCUAUGAAUGUUGACCUGUUUAAAGGUCUUACUCAUAUUGGCUACCUUAAACAGGUCAACAUUCACAAGGGGUUAACCUACCUCCUCUUCCCUCCCUGCCAGUCGGUCCUGGCAUUGUGAGUGAGCGUGAUGGCACUCAGAACGUCUUUUCUCCGUGUGUCUCUGUGCCCCUUGGUGGGCUGUCAUCACUCCCUGGCAUUGGGAACACAGCACAGCUGCAGGGGAACCGCUCAGCGGGGGACCUUCGUUUCCAUCUGUCUCCUAUUCAGGGUGGCACCUAUUUAGAGCAGCUCAGCGGCUGUGCAUGCCAUGAGCCAUGAGAGGGAGGGAGGGAGCGCUCGAGAGUGAUGGAGAGAGAGACAGGGAGAGAGGGAGAGGGAGAAAGGAGGAGAAAAGAGGGGGAGAAACUCUAGGAGACUACACCUGUGGUAGUUGUGGUUUUACUCCCACUGCUUGUUAGAUGUCAGGUUGUCUAUAAAAGUAACACUAGGAAGUUGUUUGCCAACUGGGGCACUUGGUUUAUGGUGAACAGACAUAAUGAGCAAAAUAAAAACACUGAACAUUGAAAUAGAAAUGUUUCUUCUGCACAUUACACUCUUAGAAAAAAAGGUGCCAUCUAGAACCUAAAACGGUUCUUCGGCUGUCCCCAUAGGAGAACCCUUUGAAGAACCCUCGUUGGUUCCAGGUAGAACCGUUUUGGGUUCCAUGAAUAACCCUGUCCACAGAGUGUUCUACAUGUAACCCAAAAUGGUUCU